UUUUGAUAAACUAACGUGGUAUUGAAAGUUUGACUCGACAUGUUAGACGUUAAGUGCAUAUUGGUGUACAUAUUUUAUUUACAUACCUUUGAAUCGCUUCGUUGAAAAUCUCAAGUUCCUCAUAAGUUCCGUAGCAAUCAUAAGUGUCAUCUAAAAUUGUUGCUAUUGUUAACACUUUUGUUAAGAAAAUUCUAGAACGGGAAUAUUGAGGCUCAAAGUGAAGAUCGAAAGUUAAGCACGUAUUUCUUGAUGGGCCGCAAGUAGAGUUCUGGCAAUCUGUCUCUUACAUAAUGCAAAUUCUUUUGAGGCUCCAGAUCUUUCCACCACCUACA
rnacentral:lncRNA from 1 species